rnacentral:rRNA from 1 species
GACGAACGCUGGCGGCGUGCCUAACACAUGCAAGUCAAGGAGGAAGGGGUAGCAAUAUCCCGAGUACACUGGCGCACGGGUGAGUAAGGCGUAGGCAACCUGCCUAUUGGACGGGAAUAACUCAGCGAAAGCUGGACUAAUACCCGAUAAUGCAGCGGCAUCGCAUGAUGAUGUUGUUAAAAGCCCGCAAGGGUGCCAAUAGAUGGGCCUGCGUCCCAUUAGGUAGUUGGUGAGGUAACGGCUCACCAAGCCCACGAUGGGUAGCUGGUCUGAGAGGAUGAUCAGCCACACUGGAACUGAGACACGGUCCAGACUCCUACGGGAGGCAGCAGUGAGGAAUAUUGCGCAAUGGCCGAAAGGCUGACGCAGCGACGCCGCGUGAGGGAUGAAGUCCGUUAGGAUGUAAACCUCUUUUGUAGGGGAUGAAUGUUCCCGUUCACCGGGAAUUGACCGUACCCUGCGAAUAAGGAUCGGCCAACUACGUG